rnacentral:rRNA from 1 species
UACGUAGGGUGCGAGCGUUAAUCGGAAUUACUGGGCGUAAAGCGUGCGCAGGCGGUGAGCUGUGUCCGAUGUGAAAGCCCCGGGCUUAACCUGGGAAUGGCAUUGGAAACUGGCUCGCUGGAGUGUGGCAGGAGGGGGGUGGAAUUCCGCGUGUAGCAGUGAAAUGCGUAGAGAUGUGGAGGAAUACCGAUGGCGAAGGCAGCCCCCUGGGUCAAUACUGACGCUCAUGCACGAAAGCGUGGGGAGCAAACAGG